CCCUGCCCCUCCCCCUCCCACCUCGUGUGCGCGCCCCGCCGGCCAAUCAGCGCCGAGUGGGAAGAGACAUGGGGGAGGGGAGGAGGAAAGCUCUCCCACCUUUGACCUAGCCCCUAGGCGAGAGGUUUCGGGGGACCCCAGUCGGCUAUCUCCUCGCGCCACACGGCGGACCAAUGAACUUGUGGAACCGGCGGCCGCUGAGGGUUGGUAGGACCAGAGAGGGGACAGCCCUCGCAGCCAAUCAGGAGAGAGAGUGUCCAGCUACAAAUCAGCAUUGAACUGCUCUCCUUCUGGUAGCUGGUUCAGACUGCUGCAUCCAACCAGAAGCCUCAGCAACCUGGAUUGAAGCCAAAGGCAGACACCGGAAUCAGCAAAGGUCUCCAUCCUCUUGAACUUGUGUUUACUUAUGAGGCAAACCCCAAGAAUGUCACUGUCACAAAACACUCCCUUCUCUGACUAGAAAGCUAGAGUCCAGAAUCAUGCUACUUAGAAAAACCCCUUUCUCUGACUGGAAGGCUAGAUUAUAGAAUCGUGCUGCCCAGCAAAUAAAAUCUCCCUUCCUCUACAUUGGAAUUCAGGAAUAUUGUAGGUCUACUGCCAAGUGCUUCUGCAUGAACUUCAUCAGCUGCCUGGGAAAGACACUUCUUAGGCACUCUCAGACACAGAACAGAAAUCUGUAGUGCUUCUAACCCAGACCUGCACUACCUGUAAACUUCGGCCCAGAUAGGUCAGACUAGAGACAGACUGAUGAUGAUUGGUUGCCUCGGGUCAUGUGACAGAGUGCCCAGUGGCAAACCUACAUUUUUCACAGGCCGCCAGAAGUCCUUUGGGCCACAAGCAGCCUUGGGGGGAGGGAGGGGAGAUAUGUUGUGCACCCAUAACAACUAUUAUGAGGAGUGGUUGCAUCUGUGUGUGGGCCAGGGUUUUCUUUCACAGGUACUCUCUGCACUGCACUGAUCUAUCUUCUGAAUGGGAAAGGUGGAAAAAAAAAAAAAAAAAAAAAACCAA